AUUGAACGCUGGCGGCAUGCCUUACACAUGCAAGUCGAACGGUAACAGGUCUUCGGAUGCUGACGAGUGGCGAACGGGUGAGUAAUACAUCGGAACGUGCCCAGACGUGGGGGAUAACGAGGCGAAAGCUUUGCUAAUACCGCAUACGAUCUAAGGAUGAAAGCAGGGGACCGCAAGGCCUUGCGCGUUUGGAGCGGCCAAUGGCAGAUUAGGUAGUUGGUGGGAUAAAAGCUUACCAAGCCGACGAUCUGUAGCUGGUCUGAGAGGACGACCAGCCACACUGGGACUGAGACACGGCCCAGACUCCUACGGGAGGCAGCAGUGGGGAAUUUUGGACAAUGGGCGAAAGCCUGAUCCAGCAAUGCCGCGUGCAGGAUGAAGGCCUUCGGGUUGUAAACUGCUUUUGUACGGAACGAAAAGGCUCCGGCUAAUACCUGGGGCACAUGACGGUACCGUAAGAAUAAGCACCGGCUAACUACGUG
rnacentral:rRNA from 1 species